UUACGCCUUCAUGAAGCUGGAAUUGCUAGUAAUGGCAGGUCAGCAUACUGCCGUGAAUACGUUCCCGGGCCCUUGUACACACCGCCCGUCACACCAUGAGAGUUGGGAAUACCCGAAGCCUGUGAGCUAACUUAUAGAGGCAGCAGUCGAAGGUAGAAUCAAUGAUUGGGGUGAAGUCGUAACAAGGUAUC
rnacentral:rRNA from 1 species